CAGUGGAAUCAGGUUUCGAACCUGGAUCACUCGGGUUCUUAAGCCGAGACCUUACCACUAGGUCAUUCUGCC